rnacentral:pre_miRNA from 3 species
UCUUAUGGAUGAGCAAAGAAACUGCUUUCUUGAGAUGGAAUCUACACCUGGUGAAGAUGUUGUGAA